ACAGCAGCAGCCGCGGGAAUACAGAGGGUGCAAGCGUUAAUCGGAUUUACUGGGCGUAAAGGGCGCGUAGGUGGUUAUUUAAGUGAGAUGUGAAAUCCCCGGGCUUAACCUGGGAACUGCAUCUUAUACUGGGUAACUGGAGUGCAAUAGAGGGUAGUGGAAUUUCCGGUGUAGCGGUGGAAUGCGUAGAUAUCGGAAGGAACACCAGUGGCGAAGGCGGCUACCUGGAUUGACACUGACACUGAGGCGCGAGAGCGUGGGGAGCAAACAGGAUUAGAUACCCCCGUAGUCCCUGUCUCUUAUAC
rnacentral:rRNA from 1 species